GAUGAACGCUGGCGGCGUGCCUAAUACAUGCAAGUCGAGCGAACAGACGAGGAGCUUGCUCCUCUGACGUUAGCGGCGGACGGGUGAGUAACACGUGGAUAACCUACCUAUAAGACUGGGAUAACUUCGGGAAACCGGAGCUAAUACCGGAUAAUAUAUUGAACCGCAUGGUUCAAUAGUGAGAGACGGUUUUGCUGUCACUUAUAGAUGGAUCCGCGCCGCAUUAGCUAGUUGGUAAAGUAACGGCUUACCAAGGCAACGAUGCGUAGCCGACCUGAGAGGGUGAUCGGCCACACUGGAACUGAGACACGGUCCAGACUCCUACGGGAGGCAGCAGUAGGGAAUCUUCCGCAAUGGGCGAAAGCUUGACGGAGCAACGCCGCGUGAGUGAUGAAGGUCUUCGGAUCGUAAAACUCUGUUAUUAGGGAAGAACAAAUGUGUAAGUAACUAUGCACGUCUUGACGGUACCUAAUCAGAAAGCCACGGCUAACUACGUG
rnacentral:rRNA from 1 species